UAGCUUUAAGAAAAUUAUUUAAGGUUUUACCUGCCCAGUGAAAAUUUUAACGGCCGCAGUACUUUGACUGUGCUAAGGUAGCAUAAUAAAUUGGCUUUUAAUUAAAGUCGGGUAUGAAAGGGAUCACGGAAAGUAACUGUCUCAAGUAUAUAUAAUUUUAAUUUAAUCAAUGGGUGAAAAUUCCCAUAGUAAUUUACAUUAGACGAGAAGACCCUAAGAGUUAUAAUUAAGAUGAAUUUAUUUUCAUGUAUCAUUUUUGUUGGGGCAACAUAGACUGGAUUAAACCGUCAUAAAUUAAUUUUACAUAACAGUUAUAUUUAAAAAGAAAUAAACUACCUUAGGGAUAACAGCAUAAUUAAUUUUUAGAUUGUGACCUCGAUGUUGGAUUAAGGACUUUGUUUACUAGCCGUAAACCAAGAUAGUUCUGUUCGAACUGUAAUACCUU
rnacentral:rRNA from 2 species